rnacentral:lncRNA from 1 species
UGGAGAUCGAACUUAUUCAUAGCAAUAUUGAUGCUGCUCAUUGUUCACGUCAAAAUAUUAGUAGGAUUAAAUUAAUAAUAGUAAAUAUUGCCGAACGUGUAUGUCCUAAAAGUGGCCUAAUGUGUAUGUGUCACGACUCAAAAAUCACUGGUCGUGAUGACAUCUAAUUUGACCCGCAAGACAAGCCAAUUAACUAAUAGAAACAACCAAAUAACUUAUAGAAAAAAAAGAAAGUUAGAAUUUAUUUGAACUUUCACAGAUUUUACCCAGGAACUGGUAGUACAAGUCAUGAACAUCAAGAAUUUAGGAUUUUCAAAGCUAAUACAACUUUUCACACAAUCUGUUCGAAAACUACGUAAACAGAUUAAGAAUGUCUAAAACUACCAAGAACAAGUGGCGGCUUCAACUGUUAUACCCCAUUUUAACACGGGUCAAACCAGAGUAUAACAUAUUGGUAAUUCUGAAGGUUUAAUUAAUUAAGAGAGUCGCCACCUAAUUAUUUUUAAAGGUGAAUUAGGACACCUAGUUACAAAAUAAUGCUUAAAAUCAACUAUGUUUUAUGAUCUGCUUAAUCUUAAGAUUAUGAGUAAGGGUUCUAAUUAAUCCUAUAGGGAAGAUUGUUAAAGCACCCUAUAUGAUCCGUUAAUUACGGUUAACCAGCCAAACUUAGGUUAAUUAGUAAAACAACUAAAUGAUGAGAAUAUACUUAUUAGAAAAGGGUUAAUAGUAAGUCAUUCCAAAGUAGAGAUUUACAAUCGGAGCAAGAAAAUUGUUUUAGACUGUUUCAAACUCAUAAAAGAAAAGUCCAAAACUAUUUGAAAACAAAAUUAAAAACUCAUUAAGUUUCCAAUAAUUAGCUAAGAAAAACAGUUCAACAAAGUGAAAUAAAAUUUAAAGCUUGCUUGGGUCAAAAAACAUCUUCCUAACGAGAAGAGAUUAAUCACUAAACUUGAAACAAAUCUAAGAUUCACAAAAUGUUUAAGGAAAAUUACUUUCGCGUGAGGAAAUACUUUACAAGUUCAAAAUCACAAAUCAUUCCAGCCAAGUGCAUUUAACAUUUAAAAGCAAAGGGAUAUUAAAUUAUUGAACUCCCAAAAAAUCAAACCUAAUGUAGAUAAAUUUAGGAUAACUAUAGACUUCUAGACCUCUACCCCAUAUUCUUCUUGAUAAAACAAACAUCCUUAUUGUUACCUAGUAAUAACUCUAAAUGAUCUAAGACCCAGCUCUUAUAAACAAACAAAUAGUCACAACAAACACACAAGUAAAUAUUAGUCAGUAAGGAUAAACCAAAAUAAGUUAAAAUAAUGUAAUAAAGCUUCUAUCCAAUUGUCAGGAGGAUAAAUCUCCCCAAAUUUCGCUAUUCAAAGGGACGAAUAAAGGUAUGAGGGUUCACUUCGGCAGCGGCGUGGAGUCUAACUUUGAGACUCUUUGGCUCCGGUGUGUGUAACAUGCAAAGAAAAAAAAAUAAAAGAAUAAAAUUAGCAGAGGUCUUAAAUCUUCAACAAGCAUGAAGAAAAUGAAACAAUGAAGCUAGGCAAAGACAAGAUUGCAUUGAGUGUGUGUCCCAAGUAUUAUAGAGACAAGAAACAGAUCUCAAAAACUUCAAAUAGGAUACAUGUUGCAAGAAAAGGAUGUUUUUAUAAAACUUAAGAACGUAAUAUUUACCUAGCAAAUAUACUUGUAAGGAUCUAAGAAUGAUCUUUAACUACCACUCUAAAAAAUACUAUGGGCAUGCUUUUAUAUAUAUAUAUAUAUAUAUAUAUAUAUAUAUAUAUAUAUAUACUANNNNNNNNNNNNNNNNAGUACUUCUUCCAUAUGACAUUUAAAUAAGUAAAUAGUGGUUAAUCCAUAAAAAUUCAUGGCCUACAAACAUGGUUCUUAAAUAGUUGAAAAAAAUUCCAUACGCAAGUUCAUAUGAGAAUUUAGUCAAACACAUGGCAUUCUUAUUCAAACUUUCUAUUGCCACAAUACGCAAUGAACCACAAAUCAUGAUUUUUCAAUAAAAUAAUUCCUCAAGUAUGAUUUAUACAUAGAAAGCAAGUCACAUUCUUAAGCAAGCAUUUAUUCUGGAACUCAAAAUAAAAAUUAAAAAAAAGGGAGAAGGAAAUUUUUAAGGCUACGGACCUGCUUGGGGGCAGUGAACCGGAGCUUCAACCUCGAAUCUACUCUAUAUUGUCACCAACAGAUCCGACUUCUAGCUGAGUUCGAGUAUUCUGUUACGGCUAAAGUACGCUGAGACAGAAGCAAAAGUUCCAAAGAAACUUUUAGAGUUUUUGGGAGAUGAUAUCAACAACGAGAAAAUGAUAGUAUUCGUCAGGGGCACAAUUUGUGUGAAGUAGGCUGCUCCCUCCCAGAACUCUCCCAAAUGCGAGUAUUUAUAGGAGAUGUAGAGGUAGGGAUUGUAUUUUAGGCGGGAUAUUUUUCAGAUUUUGAUUUUGAAAUGGAGUCAAAAAGCCGUUCGAAUCCGAACGUUGGGAAUUUAAUGUUCAUGUGGCUUGGUAUGAGAAAGUCCUCUGAGAUCGAAUCAAAUCCCUGAAAAUCAGUUCUUUCCAUCUCAGAAAAUCAGAAUGCCAAAAGUCUUUUGGCCUCUUUUGUUGGCUAAAUC